rnacentral:tRNA from 1 species
GGGCCUGUAGCUUAGCUUGGUGGAGCACACGACUGAUAAAAAAUUAAAACCAUUUAGAAAUCGUGCGGUCCGGAGUUCAAAUCUCCGCAGGCCCA